rnacentral:rRNA from 1 species
GAUGAACGCUAGCGAUAGGCUUAACACAUGCAAGUCGAGGGGCAGCGAGGGUAGCAAUACCUGUCGGCGACUGGCGCACGGGUGAGUAACGCGUAUGUAACCUGCCCGCAACAGGGGGAUAACCCGGCGAAAGUCGGACUAAUACCGCAUAAAACAGGGGUCCCGCAUGGGAAUAUUUGUUAAAGAUUUAUCGGUUGCGGAUGGGCAUGCGUACCAUUAGGUAGUUGGUGAGGUAACGGCUCACCAAGCCUUCGAUGGUUAGGGGUUCUGAGAGGAAGGUCCCCCACACUGGUACUGAGACACGGACCAGACUCCUACGGGAGGCAGCAGUGAGGAAUAUUGGUCAAUGGGCGAGAGCCUGAACCAGCCAAGUCGCGUGAAGGAUGACUGCCCUAUGGGUUGUAAACUUCUUUUACAAGGGAAUAAAAUGAGAUACGUGUAUUUUAUUGCAUGUACCUUGGGAAUAAGCAUCGGCUAACUCCGUG